AAUGGCACAUCAGUAUCACCAUCGCUGAUCUGUAUUCCAGUAGCUCUGCAUCUCAGCCCCAGCAUCCUAUUCCACACUGAAACCUCGAAAUCUUCGCCCCUAGUGAAUGGGUAUUUUCAAUUAAUUUCUGAGGAAGGGGGGAAAAAGGUGAAACAGAGGAAUGAUUCAAUUGCAUUGCCCGCCCACGACAUGGAUGCCCACACCACCCACUCCAAGAUUCUAUCAGAUAUCUCCUUCUAUGAGAAAGUCGUUGCAAUGCCCCUGCCGGUGCUUCCCACCUUCAGCUUUACGGAAGUCUUUCUCACCAAUAAGCAACAAUGGGACCAAUAUCAAUUAUCAGAUGAAAUGCAGAAAGUUGGAUUGCUUGCUGACUAAGAAUGCCUUGGGAUAUUUCAAUUCUUUGCUACGGAAAAUGGAUCUUAAUAGUAAUUCUCAGGGCUCCCCCGUAAGACACAUAGUAGCAGCAUUGCCAUCAUAUUUCGCCUGUAGAUUGAUACAACUAGAUUCUAUGAAUAUGAAGACAACCGUAUUCCGAGAACUAUUCUUCUAUGCGAUUAAAGCAUUUGGUGCACAGAGUUUGCCUUUUGCUUGUAUAUCUAAUUCCUUGAACAAACCAACACCUCUUGGAUUGGAAGUGUCCUUGCCUUCAUUGAAAGAUAUCAAAUGGAGUUUUUCACGGCUAAUAUAUUUAUUCAACAUACAACUUGAGAAAAAUGUUGCCAUGUUUUUUGUUGUGCUUCUUGUUUCAUGCUUUGUAUUUGUUCUGAUUGGUGGCUUCCUCUUCUUUAAGUUCAGGACCAAUGCACAUUCUCUUGAGGAUUGCUUUUGGGAGGCCUGGGCAUGCCUGUGUUCAUCAUCUACUCAUCUAAAACAAAGAACACGGAUUGAACGUGUGAUUGGCUUUGUGCUCGCUAUAUGGGGCAUUUUGUUCUAUUCUCGCCUGCUAAGCACCAUGACAGAACAGUUCAGGGAUAACAUGCACAGACUUAGAGAGGGGGCACAGAUGCAAGUUUUGGAAACUGAUCAUAUUAUUGUUUGUGGAGUUAAUAGUCGUCUGAUGUUCGUACUAAAACAGCUAAAUAAGUAUCAUGAGUUCGCUGUUCGCUUAGGUACAGCUACAGCUAGACGACAGAGGAUCCUUCUUUUGUCUGAUCUUCCUAGAAGGCAGAUGGACAAAAUGGCUGACACCAUGGCAAAAGAUCUCAAACAUAUUGAUGUUCUUUCAAAAAGUUGCAGUCUAAGUUUGACAAGAUCAUUUGAAAGAGCAGCAGCUAAUAAGGCGCGCGCAAUUGUUAUAUUGCCAACUAAAGGAGAUCGGUACGAAAUUGAUACUGAUGCAUUUCUAUCCGUACUGGCUCUUCAACCUCUUCCAGAAAUGGCCUCUGUGCCCACUAUAGUUGAGGUUUCAAGUUCCAACACUUGUGAGCUUUUAAAAUCAAUUUCAGGAUUGAAUGUACAUCCUGUGCAGAAUGUUACAUCCAAGUUAUUUGUCCAGUGUUCUCGGCAGAAGGGACUUAUAAAAAUAUACAAACAUUUGCUUAACUAUCGAAAGAAUGUGUUUAAUCUAUGCAGUUUCCCUGACCUAGCAGGAUUGAGAUAUAAGCAAUUGAGACGUGGCUUUCAAGAGGCAGUUGUUUGUGGUCUGUAUCGAGGAGGGAAGAUAUAUUUCCACCCAAAUGAUGAUGAAGUAUUAGAACAAAGCGAUAAGAUUCUGUUUAUUGCACCCAUACAUGGGAAGAAGCAUCUACCACUUGAUUAUUUGAAUAGAGAAGAAUGCGAUUACGGUAAGGAUGAUUCUGAAAAUGUGGAGAAGGAUGGUAGAUUUACAAAUCAAACUAUGGACAUUAGAAAAGCAAGGCUUGAGAACAUCGUGAAACGAACAAGAUUUGGUUCUAAGGCAUCAGAUUUGUCUUUGGGACCAAAAGAGUGCAUACUAAUGCUGGGAUGGCGGCCAGAUGUUGUGGAAAUGAUUGAAGAAUAUGACAAUUACCUGGGUCCUGGCAGUGUAUUGGAAGUCUUGUCCUAUGUUCCCUUGGAUGACAGAAAUAAAGCUAGCAGACUUACUGGUCAUGGGAAGCUAAGGAAUGUGCAAAUUUCUCACAGGAUUGGAAACCCGAUGGACUAUGACACUCUGAACGACACAAUUGUAAGCAUUCAAAAAUCUUUAAAGAAAGAUGAAGAUAUUACAUUCUCCAUUGUUGUGAUAUCUGAUCGAGAAUGGCUCCUUGGAGAUCCAUCCAAGGGAGACAAGCAAUCUGCAUACUCUCUUCUCCUUGCUGAAAACAUUUGCAAUAAACUUGGGGUGAAGCAUUGCAGGUGCAAAACCUAGUUGCAGAAAUUGUUGAUUCCAAGUUUGGGAAACAGAUUACAAGAAUCAGGCCGUCCUUAACUUACAUUGCGGCGGAGGAAGUAAUGAGCCUCGUGACAGCUCAAGUUGCAGAAAACUGUGAGUUGGAUGAGGUCUGGAAAGACAUUUUAGAUGCCGAUGGGGAUGAAAUAUACAUUAAGGAUAUCCGCCUCUACAUGAAGGAAGGGGAGAAUCCUUCAUUUGCCGAGCUCAGUGAAAGAGCAUAUUUGCGAAGAGAAGUUGCCAUUGGUUAUGUCAAGAACAACAAAAACGUUCUGAACCCAAUUCCCAAGUCAGAGCCCCUUAAUCUUCAACUUGGUGACUCCCUGAUAGUCAUAUCUGAGCUUGAAGGAGAACAGCCUGUGGUCAUUGAAGCAGAGUCUUAAAGUUUUAAACAACUUCACAUAGAUUCAUGUAAUCCCAGGAAACUGCCCUUGUUUCUUGAAUUAUUCUCAUCCAUUUUAUUGAUUAUUUUCCCCUUAAUUUCUAAUACAUUUUGCCCUUAAUUUAAA